rnacentral:lncRNA from 1 species
GAUUAAAGAUCAUUUUAAAAUAGAUGUUGAGAAGGAAAAAGAAAAAAGAAUUGAAUGAACAACUUGUCAAUAAAGAAAAAAGGUAAUUCGUAACUGGUUUGUGUACCGCUACAUAGUCAUGUGUUUAUGAAUAUUCUAUGAUUAGACCCUGACGUAUCUAAAACUGGGUGGUAAAACUAGUCAUGGGUAAAAGUAAGACAAAUAUCAGUGCGCUAGUCAAGAAAUAUCUAAAUGCUGAGAGCCACGAAAAUAGUCAAAUACGGGACACAGGUAUCCGUCAAACAUCUCCAUAGGUCGCGGGAUACUUCUUCAAUUGACUUCCUCUGUUUCAAAAAAAAAACAAAUUAUUAGUAUAAAGCAAAAUUUUACACCCGAAAGCGUACACCAAAAGGAAAUUUAUACGAACCAGUUUACUGUCUGACAACGCUGGAAGGCCGUGGAAAGAUUGCUGCAAAAUGGAUUCUCCGAUGUUUUCAUCAUCAUUUAUAUGCAAGCAGUUCCUAAUAUAAUUGUAUUGGGCCCAACCAUCAGAACCAUAGGCCUUACAGCCAACCCGGUCUGGAUAAUCAUACACAGCACUAUAUAUGCCUUUGUAAGAUAAAAAGCACACAUUGUUUAAUUAAAUCAAAUUCCACGAGAAGUCCAAAUAAACUAGGAAAAGUAUUAAACAAACUUGGCCGAUGAAUCCGGUUUGCCCACUGUCGCACCCCGUUUUUUAGAAAAAGUGAAAAAUGUUGUUUGAAGUCAUAAUGUGUAGUGUGAAUGAAAUAUGUGAAGUGUGUGAAUGUGAGAAACAAAGGGUAAAGCCAUGGGACUUUUAAAUGCGAUGGUUUGGCCAAAAAUGGUAAUCUAAAAAGGUUUUUUAAACAGAAAAGUAGGAGUCGCCAUUUGGUAUUGAGUUGGGAUGUACCAAGUCACCCAAAAAGUAGUUUUUGAAAAAAAUGUAGUAAAAACCUUUUUAAAUGACUCAUAGUCUACGAAAAUCAAAGAGACGAGUUCGGGGGUCGCGGUUGAUAAAAGGGAAGGCAAAAACAAAGUCUAAGGCACCCUUUUAUCCUAACCCAAACUAGUUGCGUGAUUUAGUGACAAUUUUCCUAAUUUUUUACCCAAAAAAUGUAUUGCAUUUUGGAUGUGUCUAACAUGAAUUUAAACCUAAAUCUAAUGAAUGGUUUGAAAGGGGGCAAAAUGUCUCUUUAGAGGCUCGAUUGGUCCUAAUCACAUGAGUUGUGAUAGCCAAUGGUGAACCCUCAAAGAGGUCACGAAUAAAUGCAAAUGAAUGCUCGAGUAAUAAUGAGGAAAAAAUGAGUGUGAGAAAAUGUCUUUGAGUGUAAAAAUAUGUGCCAGGUACAAAUGUGCAAAGUGCAAGUGUGCAAAUGGGUGUGUAAAAUGCAAGGGUGCAAAUGAGUAUGUAAAAGUGCACGUGUACAACUGAGGAGGAGUGUAAAGUGCAGGUGUGCUAAUGAGUAUGUAAAGUGUAAAUGUGCAGAUGUGAGAGAGUGUAAAGUAAAAUGAGCAAAGUGAUAAUAUAUGAAGUGAAAGUGCAAAGUGAUAGUGGGUAAAGUGAUAGUGUGCAAAGUGAGAAUUUGUAAAGUGGUAGGGUGCGAAGUGAGAAUGAAGAAAAAAUGAUAGUGUAAAGUGGAAGUGUGCAAAUGGUAAUGUGCCUUAGAAAUGCAUGAGUCCUAGAGGAAUGCAAGUAAGACGGGUACGGGGAGACCCUAAAUCGUGACUUUUGAUUUGCCUUUUGGUUAGAAAGAAAACGAGCGUGCUAAGGCUAUGUGUAGCCAUACUCGUCCGUUUCCCUUACCAGAAGGGUGACUCCCUAACCUAAUCAAGCAGAUGACCCUAAUAACUAGAAUGAGAUGCAAAGUCCUAAAUGUGUAAGGGAAAGGUUAGGGGUUCAUGCAAAAAUGUAAAAAUGCUAAAAAAA